AAGGAUCAUUAAAGUAUGAUAUUUGAAUUCUUUGGAGUUCAAAACCAUCUGAUAUUGUGAUAUUAUUGAAAAAUUAAAUUUGGAUUUAAAGAUGAUAUUUUCUUUGUGUUAAAACAAAGAAAGUAUCGAUCCAAUAUUUUGAUCAACUCUCUUAUUAUUUUGACUGAAUUUAAUCAAGUUUUAAUCCAAUUUGGAUUAAAAAAAAAAGUUUUAAAUAACUUUCAACAACGGAUCUCUUGGUUCUCGCAUCGAUGAAGAACGCAGCGAAAUGCGAUACGUAAUGUGAAUUGCAGAUUGUGAAUCAUCGAAUCUUUGAACGCAUAUUGCACUCUUUGGUAUUCCGAGGAGUAUACUUGUUUCAGUAUCAUGAAAAUCUCACCAAUGAAACUUUUUUUGUUUCAUCUGCGUGGACUUGGGUUUGCGAUUUCUAACACAAUUGCUAAUCUAAAAUGAAUUUCAUGAAGCUUAAAUAUGCUUUGAAUCUUUUGCUUAAUAGUUUUGCUUUGUCAAAUCUUUUGCAACUGGAUUCAAAUCCAAAAAGUGGAUUGAUUUUACGAAAAAUCAAAACCUUCAUUUUUUGAUCUGAAAUCAAGUAGGAUUACCCGCUGAACUUAA
rnacentral:misc_RNA from 1 species